rnacentral:rRNA from 1 species
ACGGCUACCUUGUUACGACUUCACCCCAAUUAUCGAACCCACCUUCGGCCGCGCCCUCCUUGCGGUUAGGCUACGGACUUCGGGUGUUCCCGACUCUCAUGGUGUGACGGGCGGUGUGUACAAGGCCCGGGAACGUAUUCACCGCGGCAUGCUGAUCCGCGAUUACUAGCGAUUCCGACUUCAUGCAGUCGAGUUGCAGACUGCAAUCUGAACUGGGACGGCUUUUAGGGGUUCGCUCCACUUCACAGCUUUGCAUCCCUCUGUUGGCCGCCAUUGUAUUACGUGUGUAGCCCAGGACAUAAGGGGCAUGAUGAUUUGACGUCGUCCCCACCUUCCUCCGUUUUGUCAACGGCAGUCUCGCUAGAGUGCUCUUGCGUAGCAACUAACAAUAAGGGUUGCGCUCGUUGCGGGACUUAACCCAACAUCUCACGACACGAGCUGACGACAACCAUGCACCACCUGUCUCUACUUCCCCCGAAGGGUACCUAAUGUAUCUCUACUUCGUUAGUAGGAUGUCAAGCCCUGGUAAGGUUCUUCGCGUUGCAUCGAAUUAAACCACAUAAUCCACCGCUUGUGCGGGCCCCCGUCAAUUCCUUUGAGUUUCAACCUUGCGAUCGUACU